rnacentral:rRNA from 1 species
UGGGGAAUUUUGGACAAUGGGGGCAACCCUGAUCCAGCAAUGCCGCGUGUGUGAAGAAGGCCUUCGGGUUGUAAAGCACUUUUGUCCGGAAAGAAAACGUCGUGGUUAAUACCCGUGGCGGCUGACGGUACCGGAAGAAUAAGCACCGGCUAACUACGUGCCAGCAGCCGCGGUAAUACGUAGGGUGCAAGCGUUAAUCGGAAUUACUGGGCGUAAAGCGUGCGCAGGCGGUCCGCUAAGACAGAUGUGAAAUCCCCGGGCUUAACCUGGGAACUGCAUUUGUGACUGGCGGGCUAGAGUAUGGCAGAGGGGGGUUAGAAUUCCACGUGUAGCAGUGAAAUGCGUAGAGAUGUGGAGGAAUACCGAUGGCGAAGGCAGCCCCCUGGGCCAAUACUGACGCUCAUGCACGAAAGCGUGGGGGAGCAAACAGGAUUAGAUACCCUGGUAGUCCACGCCCUAAACGAUGUCAACUA